UACGAAGGGGGCUAGCGUUGCUCGGAAUCACUGGGCGUAAAGGGUGCGUAGGCGGGUUUUUAAGUCAGAGGUGAAAUCCUGGAGCUCAACUCCAGAACUGCCUUUGAUACUGGGGAUCUCGAGUCCGGAAGAGGUUGGUGGAACUGCGAGUGUAGAGGUGAAAUUCGUAGAUAUUCGCAAGAACACCAGUGGCGAAGGCGGCCAACUGGUCCGGUACUGACGCUGAGGUGCGAAAGCGUGGGGAGCAAACAGG
rnacentral:rRNA from 1 species